UACGUAGGAGGCGAGCGUUGUCCGGAGUUACUGGGCGUAAAGGGUGCGCAGGCGGCGUCACGCGUGGCUAGAUGAAAUCUCCUGGCUUACCUGGGAGGGUGGUAGCCAGACGGUGGCGCUUGAGGGUCGGAGAGGGGCGUGGAAUUCCGGGUGGAGCGGUGAAAUGCGUAGAGAUCCGGAGGAACACCGACGGCGUAGGCAGCCCCCUGGGCUAACACUGACGCUCAGGCACGAAAGCGUGGGGAGCAAACAGG
rnacentral:rRNA from 1 species